rnacentral:misc_RNA from 1 species
UUUCCGUAGGUGAACCUGCGGAAGGAUCAUUAUUGUAUAACCGAGGUGCGAGGGCUGUCGCUGACCCGAAAGGUCGUGCACGCCCGAGUGCCCUCACACACAUCCACCUCACCCCUAUGUGCACCACCGCGUGGGUCCCCCUUUGGCUUGUUCGGAGGGGGGCUUACGUUUUCACACAAACUUUGUAUGCAGUGUAGAGUGUAUUUUUUGUUUUUGCGAUCACGCAAUCAAUACAACUUUCAACAACGGAUCUCUUGGCUCUC